CCUACGGGAGGCUGCAGUAGGGAAUUUUCGUCAAUGGGCGCAAGCCUGAACGAGCGAUGCCGCGUGAGUGAAGAAGGCCUUCGGGUCGUAAAGCUCUGUUGUGGGGGAAAAAAGGCAGUAUCAGGAAAUGGGUGCUGACUGACGGUGUCCUGCCAGAAAGCCACGGCUAACUACGUGCCAGCAGCCGCGGUAAUACGUAGGUGGCGAGCGUUAUCCGGAAUGAUUGGGCGUAAAGGGUGCGCAGGCGGUUCUGUAAGUCUGAAGUGAAACGCAUGGGCUCAACCCAUGAAUGGCAUUGGAAACUGGAGGACUGGAGAGCAGGAGAGGACAGUGGAACUCCAUGUGUAGCGGUGAAAUGCGUAGAGAUAUGGAGGAACACCAGUGGCGAAGGCGACCGCCUGGCCUGUUGCUGACGCUGAGGCACGAAAGCGUGGGGAGCAAAUAGGAUUAGAUACCCGAGUAGUC
rnacentral:rRNA from 1 species